CCGCUACAGAAGUUCGGUCGGAGUCUGGUUCCCGUAGAAGUCCGGAUGGGGAUCAUUUGUUGAGGAAGCUCAGUCGAAGCCUGCCUACAAUAGAAGUCCGAAAGAAAUUCGUUCACAAGGGAAGCUCGGGUGGAGGCUUACAGUAGAAAUCCGACGUGGACCGCUCGUAGUAGAAAUUUGAAGUAGACCACUUGUAGUAGUAGCUC
rnacentral:lncRNA from 1 species